rnacentral:rRNA from 1 species
UACGGAGGGUGCGAGCGUUGUCCGGAAUCACUGGGCGUAAAGGGCGCGUAGGCGGUGUCGUAAGCGUGCGGUGAAAGCCUGGGGCUCAACCCCGGGUCGGCCGUGCGAACUGCGAGACUCGAGCACUGUAGAGGCAGGCGGAAUUCCGGGUGUAGCGGUGGAAUGCGUAGAGAUCCGGAAGAACACCGGUGGCGAAGGCGGCCUGCUGGGCAGUGGCUGACGCUGAGGCGCGACAGCGUGGGGAGCAAACAGG